AGAGUUUGAUCCUGGCUCAGGACGAACGCUGGCGGCGUGCCUAAUACAUGCAAGUCGAGCGGACAGAUGGGAGCUUGCUCCCUGAUGUUAGCGGCGGACGGGUGAGUAACACGUGGGUAACCUGCCUGUAAGACUGGGAUAACUCCGGGAAACCGGGGCUAAUACCGGAUGCUUGUUUGAACCGCAUGGUUCAAACAUAAAAGGUGGCUUCGGCUACCACUUACAGAUGGACCCGCGGCGCAUUAGCUAGUUGGUGAGGUAAUGGCUCACCAAGGCGACGAUGCGUAGCCGACCUGAGAGGGUGAUCGGCCACACUGGGACUGAGACACGGCCCAGACUCCUACGGGAGGCAGCAGUAGGGAAUCUUCCGCAAUGGACGAAAGUCUGACGGAGCAACGCCGCGUGAGCGAUGAAGGUUUUCGGAUCGUAAAGCUCUGUUGUUAGGGAAGAACAAGUACCGUUCGAAUAGGGCGGUACCUUGACGGUACCUAACCAGAAAGCCACGGCUAACUACGUGCCAGCAGCCGCGGUAAUACGUAGGUGGCAAGCGUUGUCCGGAAUUAUUGGGCGUAAAGGGCUCGCAGGCGGUU
rnacentral:rRNA from 1 species